GGUACCUCCUCUCUCCCGCCCUCCCCCUCCGCCUUUGUCUUACUAUCACAGGGAAACCGAGGGAACGAUUUCCUGUUGACACCGGAUUAUUUAGAAAGUGAAGGGAAGGAGGAGAGAGGGAAAGCCGGCCUGGAAGUUGUGCCGAGUCGCACCUUACACCCGGGCUGUGCCAGUGGCUCCCAGGGGACGGAUAGGGCGGCCCUGCUGCUGGAUGCGCCCUCACUCGGGACAAAGUUUGUGCGCAGGGAAGGAGCCCCGGCAAGGAGAGGGGGGGGGCACAGGGGCAGAGGCUGCAGCCCGGGAUAUGCACUUUAGCAGCAGCAGCAGCAGGUGCGCCGUGUCCCUGGGCUCAUACUGGGCUCACACUGGGCUGACACUGGGCUGACACUGGGCUCAUACUGGGCUGACACUGGGCUCAUACUGGGCUGACACUGGGCUCAUACUGGGCUCAUACUGGGCUGACACUGGGCUCAUACUGGGCUGACACUGGGCUCAUACUGGGCUCAUACUGGGCUCAUACUGAACAGAAGCGCUCACAUCUGGCCUUGGCUUCUUACACAGGGGCCUUGUGCUACCGGCGCUACACUGGGGACAGGACAGCCCUUGGAUUUGUGAGCCCUUCCAUGCUCUCACCCACAGCUGCUGAUGGCUGAAGCCUGGCUGGAGGAAGAAGAGGAGGAGCUGAGAGAGCUCAGGGACAGUGCUGGGAACAGGAGGCACAGGAGGUCCAACCUCAACCAAGCUGCAGGUCGAUAUUCCCAUGAAGACAUUUGGAGCACCCAACCUGUUUGUUUACCAAAUGAUGUCAACUAUAAUGUGGAGGGCACAGUGUCAUGUGUUAUGCGUGAUCCUGCUCCUGCGCAAAAUAGAAAAUAUGAAUUAUAACAGUGGUUUUUCAUGUCCUGAAGUUCAGAACCCAGCUUUUAUUGAGCACCAGUGCCAGCCUACAUGGAAUAUGAGUGCCCCUGUGCCACCAGCUCCUCCCCAGGACCCCCCCCCCCCCCAUGCCCAGCACCUGGGAGCUAGCAAGCUAUGUGAGUCAUUCUGUAGCAAAUAAGAUUGUUACUUGCACACUUGCAAGGCAUGCAUAAAGUAUCAUUUGUAAGCUGUCUCAUGGAUGGAUGAUACAUUUAAGGUAGGAACAAACAGCAGUGUCAGGGUGUUCUGCCUGAAUUAGCCGUACCUCUCCAGCACCAGAAGUUUGUCCCCCACGUCAGGACUUUUUGGCUCUAUUUGGGCCCCUCGGAACGAUGCCUUUGAUGGCUGCUGCCGGUCAGUGGCUCUCCUCCCCAUUCUGAGCACGUUGGGAAUCACUCAGUUAUGUGCAAGCCGGAGUACUUGCCUAGAUUUAACCCCUUCCAUGCCUACAUGAACCUGGACGUAUGGACAGGAACCGCUAACAGAAAUGCACCUUUCCCAAUUUCGAGAGACUCUGGUAGUUACUCUGGAAACUUGUGAACUGAAUUUGAUCCAAGAAAAUGUGAAUAUUAAUGCUUGCAGUUUUGAACACUAGAGUGAGCAAGUUAUUGUAAUAGAAUACAAUAUUGGUGAAUAUUCUGGCACUUUUUAUAUCAAUAAAUUUUUUUUACUGAA